GAUGAUUUAUUUUUAUUAAGUUUAUUGAAUUUGCGCCCCAAGCCUCAAGAUGAAACAAGCUUGCUUUUUUACUGCUUUGAGUUCAUAAUCGAUUAUUCACAUUAUGUAAUUAUAUUGCACUAUGCUCGGAUGAAUUCAAUCCUGACCUGAUGAAAGCCAAUGGUUUUUUUUGAAACUGUAGAAAAUCUAUAUGCUCUAACUCCAAAUAAUAUUGUACCUACGAAGUCUUUUUGGAGAUGUUACACUUAGGGAAUUGGAACUAAUUGUGAAUGCCUAAAGUCAUGAAUGAAAUGAUUUACUUUUGGUCUUGAGCCUUCUGCAAAACUGCAGAUCAAAAAUCUUAAGGCUUACAAUUGUGAUUCAAAGGUCAGUGUGAGCUGUAUAUUUUGCUUUUAAAUCGGACAGAUUUAACAAAAGAACGAUAUU
rnacentral:lncRNA from 1 species